CUGGUGGAGCCGUCCUUGAAAUACCACCCUGGUUUGUUUGAGGUUCUAACCAUGGCCUGUGAAUCCAGGUCUGGGACCGUGCAUGGUAGGCAGUUUGACUGGGGCGGUCUCCUCCCAAAGUGUAACGGAGGAGUACGAAGGUACGCUAGGUACGGUCGGACAUCGUGCUGUUAGUGCAAUGGCAAAAGCGUGCUUAACUGCGAGACCCACAAGUCGAGCAGAUACGAAAGUAGGUCAUAGUGAUCCGGUGGUUCUGUAUGGAAGGGCCAUCGCUCAACGGAUAAAAGGUACUCUCUGGAUAACAGGCUGAUACCGCCCAAGAGUUCAUAUCGACGGCGGUGUUUGGCACCUCGAUGUCGGCUCAUCACAUCCUGGGGCUGUAGUCGGUCCCAAGGGUAUGGCUGUUCGCCAUUUAAAGUGGUACGUGAGCUGGGUUUAAAACGUCGUGAGACAGUUUGGUCCCUAUCUGCCGUGGG
rnacentral:rRNA from 1 species